rnacentral:rRNA from 1 species
GACGAACGCUGGCGGCGUGCCUAACACAUGCAAGUCGAACGAGGUCCAAGGAGUGCUUGCACUCCUGAAGACCUAGUGGCGAACGGGUGAGUAGCACGUGAGAAACCUGCCCCGGACUCUGGGAUAACUCAAGGAAACUUGAGCUAAUACCGGAUACCCUCCUGCGGUCGCAUGGCUGCUUGAGGAAAGUUUUUCGGCUGGGAGGGUCUCGCGGCCUAUCAGCUAGUUGGUGAGGUAACGGCUCACCAAGGCGACGACGGGUAGCUGGUUUGAGAGAACGAUCAGCCACACUGGAACUGAGACACGGUCCAGACUCCUACGGGAGGCAGCAGUGGGGAAUCUUGCGCAAUGGGCGAAAGCCUGACGCAGCAACGCCGCGUGCGGGAUGACGGCCUGGUGUAACGC